rnacentral:rRNA from 1 species
CCUACGGGGGGCAGCAGUGGGGAAUAUUGCACAAUGGGGGGAACCCUGAUGCAGCGACGCCGCGUGAGUGAAGAAGUAUUUCGGUAUGUAAAGCUCUAUCAGCAGGGAAGAAAAUGACGGUACCUGACUAAGAAGCCCCGGCUAACUACGUGCCAGCAGCCGCGGUAAUACGUAGGGGGCAAGCGUUAUCCGGAUUUACUGGGUGUAAAGGGAGCGUAGGCGGCAGAGCAAGUCUGAAGUGAAAGCCCGGGGCUCAACUGAGGGACUGCUUUGGAAACUGCCCGGCUAGAGUGCUGGAGAGGUAAGCGGAAUUCCUGGUGUAGCGGUGAAAUGCGUAGAUAUUAGGAGGAACACCAGUGGCGAAGGCGGCUUACUGGACAGUAACUGACGUUGAGGCUCGAAAGCGUGGGGAGCAAACAGGAUUAGAUACCCUUGUAGUC